rnacentral:rRNA from 1 species
GAUGAACGCUGGCGGCGUGCCUAAUACAUGCAAGUCGAGCGAACAGACGAGGAUCUUGCUCCUCUGACGUUAGCGGCGGACGGGUGAGUAACACGUGGAUAACCUACCUAUAAGACUGGGAUAACUUCGGGAAACCGGAGCUAAUACCGGAUAAUAUAUUGAACCGCAUGGUUCAAUAGUGAAAGACGGUUUUGCUGUCACUUAUAGAUGGAUCCGCGCCGCAUUAGCUAGUUGGUAAGGUAACGGCUUACCAAGGCAACGAUGCGUAGCCGACCUGAGAGGGUGAUCGGCGACACUGGAAGGGAGACAGGGACAAGACUCCUACGGGAGGCAGCAGUAGGGAAUCUUCCGCAAUGGGCGAAAGCCUGACGGAGCAACGCCGCGUGAGUGAUGAAGGUCUUCGGAUCGUAAAACUCUGUUAUUAGGGAAGAACAAAUGUGUAAGUAACUAUGCACGUCUUGACGGUACCUAAUCAGAAAGCCACGGCUAACUACGUG